rnacentral:tRNA from 1 species
AGGAGUGUAGCUCAGUUUGGAAGAGCAGCGGUCUCCAAAACCGCAGGCCGGGGGUUCGAGUCCCUCCACUCCUGCCA